UACGUAGGGGCUAGCGUUGUCCGGAAUCAUUGGGCGUAAGAGCGUGUAGGCGGCCGGUAAGUCCGCUGUAAAGUCAAAGGCUCAACCUUUGAAUGUCAAUGGAUACUGCCGGGCUAGAGUCCGGAAGAGGCGAGUGGAACUCCUGGUGUAGCGGUGGAAUGCGCAGAUAUCAGGAAGAACACCAACGGCGAAGGCAGCUCGCUAGGACGGUACUGACGCUGAGACGCGAAAGCGUGGGGAGCGAACAGG
rnacentral:rRNA from 1 species